rnacentral:lncRNA from 1 species
AAUCCUCGGGACUGGUCCGGCUGAGUCCGCGGGGCUGGUCCAGGCUGAGCCCUCGGGGCUGGUCCAGGCUGAGCCCUCGGGGCUGGUCCAGGCUGAGCCCUCGGGGCUGGUCCCGGCUGAGUCCUCGGGGCUGGUCCUGGCUGAGCCCUCGGAGCUGGUCCCGGCUGAGCACCCCCAGCAGAACCAACUGUGCCAACACUGCGCCAUAGCUUCCCGUCUGCGCAGCUUGUCCAAUGUGUUAGCUAGGCUCCUCCCCACAAAAACUAUUAGGCACCCGCUCUGCUCCAGUGUGCCAGUAGCUCCACCCUGGCUCUCACGAGUUCAUAAACUCCUCUGUGUCAUGAGAAGUCCCACAGAGAAAUGGAAGUUUCUCUUCAGGCCCAGAUUGGGCUGAGCAGAGGAGGAUUGUUCAUGUGGUACGGAGCAACUCAGGCAACAAAGCCAUGUACGAGUCCAGGAAGCCCCGGUCCUCCAGUCCAGGUGCUCUUUGGAGCAAUAUGUGGACAGUUCUGAGACGUUGGGCUGCGUGUUCUGUGCAUCAGCUAAACAGAAGGAGUCAGCAGCCUGAGGCUCAGAAAAGGACCUCAACAGAGCCGACCCUGCCAGCACAGCGAUUUGGAACUUCUAGCCUAGGACUCGGGGAAGUUAAGUUUCUAAAGUUUCUAAAGCAAAACAACCAGCUCGUGUAUACCUUGGAAUCCCGUAUUUAUUAAUAAUUCCUUGCCAUAGGCUUAUAGGCUGAAAUUUGGAAAAGAUGGAGAAGAAAUAUAAACACUGGGAAUUAACAGAAGCAGAAAACUUUCCAAGGCAGAAAAAGGAAUUCAUUGAGUGAAGAAAGACGGAAGAGAGACGAGUGAGUUCUAGGGGGUGUGCUUGUUGCUUCUGUUCAGUGCGUUGCCAUGGCAUGGCAGACGCUUGGGUCGAGUGGAACCUGCAUCUGAGCAUCCUGUUUUCACAGUUUGGAGACUUCUCCACACUCACGCUGGAAUCUUGGCUCAUUAUAUGUUUGAAGGCUAAAGGCCUGCCCCCUUCAUUUGCAUAGACCUGAGUGGAGAGCCAGCCUCAAGAACAGAACAAGGGGAUCCAGGUUCACACAUCGGACUCUGUGCAUACUCAGUGAGAGACCCCCUACCGUUCAGCUACCUGGGCUUCUGGGCCAAAGUGACCUGGCAUGUAAAACUCCACUCUGACUGUCACUACUGUAUACACCACAGUAGUCAAUAAUGUAUUCACACUCCAUGAAUAUCUAAUUCUCUGGUUGUAAAUGUAUUGGCUUUGCCAAUAACAUUCGAGGCUCCCAGUGGGUUGGAAAAAAUCUUACAUUUUACAUUUGAUU